UACGGGGGGGGCAAGCGUUGUUCGGAAUUACUGGGCGUAAAGGGCUCGUAGGCGGCCAACUAAGUCAGACGUGAAAUCCCUCGGCUUAACCGGGGAACUGCAUCUGAUACUGGAUGGCUUGAGUUCGGGAGAGGGAUGUGGAAUUCCAGGUGUAGCGGUGAAAUGCGUAGAUAUCUGGAGGAACACCGGUGGCGAAGGCGGCGACCUGGGUCGAGACUGACGCUGAGGCGCGAAGGCCAGGGGAGCAAACGGG
rnacentral:rRNA from 1 species